UUUCAUUGGAGAGUUUGAUCCUGGCUCAGGACGAACGCUGGCGGCGUGCUUAACACAUGCAAGUCGAACGGAAAGGCCCCUUUGGGGGUACUCGAGUGGCGAACGGGUGAGUAACACGUGAGUAACCUGCCCUUGACUUCGGGAUAACUUCAGGAAACUGGGGCUAAUACCGGAUAGGAAUCCUUGCUGCAUGGUGGGGGUUGGAAAGCUUCGGCGGUUUUGGAUGGACUCGCGGCUUAUCAGCUUGUUGGUGGGGUAGUGGCUUACCAAGGCUUUGACGGGUAGCCGGCCUGAGAGGGCGACCGGCCACAUUGGGACUGAGAUACGGCCCAGACUCCUACGGGAGGCAGCAGUGGGGAAUAUUGCACAAUGGGCGGAAGCCUGAUGCAGCAACGCCGCGUGCGGGAUGACGGCCUUCGGGUUGUAAACCGCUUUCAGCAGGGGCGAAGCUUGUGGUGACGGUACCUGCAGAAGAAGCACCGGCUAACUACGUGCCAGCAGCCGCGGUGAUACGU
rnacentral:rRNA from 1 species